rnacentral:rRNA from 1 species
GACGAACGCUGGCGGCGUGCUUAACACAUGCAAGUGGUGCGACGAACCAGGGCUUGCCCUGGGGCUAAGCCGCGAACGGGUGAGUAACACGUGAGUAAUCUGCCCCGAUGACCGGGACAACCCGAGGAAACUCGGGCUAAUACCGGAUGUGGUGCACAGGCGUAAGCCCGUGUACUAAAGGAAGCUUCGGCCUCCGCAUUGGGAGGAGCUCGCGGCCCAUUAGCUUGUUGGUGGGGUAACGGGCUACCAAGGCAACGAUGGGUAGCUGGUCUGAGAGGACGAUCAGCCACACUGGGACUGAGACACGGCCCAGACUCCUACGGGAGGCAGCAGUGGGGAAUCUUGCGCAAUGCGCGAAAGCGUGACGCAGCAACGCCGCGUGGGGGAAGACGGCCUUCGGGUUGUAAACCCCUUUCAGGAGGGACGAAGGUUCACCGGUGAAUAGCCGUGUGGAUUGACGGUACCUCCACAAGAAGCUCCGGCUAACUACGUGCCAGCAGCCGCCGUAAAAC